GGGGAAUAUUGGACAAUGGGCGAAAGCCUGAUCCAGCCAUGCCGCGUGUGUGAAGAAGGUCUUCGGAUUGUAAAGCACUUUAAGUUGGGAGGAAGGGUUUCUGGCAAUAUUCCAGGCAUUUUGCAGUUACCGACAGAAUAACCACGUCCAACUUUCGUCCCAGCAGCCGCGGUAAUACGAAGGGUGCAAGCGUUAAGCGGAAUUACUGGGCGUAAAGCGCGCGUAGGUGGUUCGUUAAGUUGGAUGUGAAAGCCCCGGGCUCAACCUGGGAACUGCAUCCAAAACUGGCGAGCUAGAGUAUGGCAGAGGGUGGUGGAAUUUCCUGUGUAGCGGUGAAAUGCGUAGAUAUAGGAAGGAACACCAGUGGCGAAGGCGACCACCUGGGCUAAUACUGACACUGAGGUGCGAAAGCGUGGGGAGCAAACA
rnacentral:rRNA from 1 species